rnacentral:rRNA from 1 species
GAUGAACGCUGGCGGCGUGCCUAAUACAUGCAAGUCGAGCGAACAGACGAGGAGCUUGCUCCUCUGACGUUAGCGGCGGACGGGUGAGUAACACGUGGAUAACCUACCUAUAAGACUGGGAUAACUUCGGGAAACCGGAGCUAAUACCGGAUAAUAUAUUGAACCGCAUGGUUCAAUAGUGAAAGACGGUUUUGCUGUCACUUAUAGAUGGAUCCGCGCCGCAUUAGCUAGUUGGUAAGGUAACGGCUUACCAAGGCAACGAUGCGUAGCCGACCUGAGAGGGUGAUAGGCCACACUGGAACUGAGACAAGGUCCAGACUCCUACGGGAGGCAGCAGUAGGGAAUCUUCCGCAAAGGGCGAAAGCUUGACGGAGCAAAGCAGCGUGAGUGAUGAAGGUCUUCGGAUCGUAAAACUCUGUUAUUAGGGAAGAACAAAUGUGUAAGUAACUAUGCACGUCUUGACGGUACCUAAUCAGAAAGCCACGGCUAACUACGUG